ensembl:lncRNA
CAGACCCAGAUGGAUUUAAAAGGACAAGGAAGGAAGCAGAUCCCUCCUCCAGAUGAAAACUGCUGACCAAUAGAACAUAGACCCUAGAUUGGUAGAAACCAGAAGGUUGAUGAUGCUUGAAAUUUCACCUUGAUGCCAACCAAUCCAAGAACUGUCCAGGAGCUGAUCAUGCCCUGCCCCUUAAACACUAUAAAACUCCUCACAACCCUGUCCAGAGUGGAUCAUGUGGUCUUCAGGGCAUUAACCCACUGUGGCCCCCUUUGCUGGGCAAAACAAUUAAAGAUACUCUUUCCUACUU